rnacentral:rRNA from 1 species
UUAGAGUUUGAUCCUGGCUCAGAUUGAACGCUGGCGGCAUGCCUUACACAUGCAAGUCGAACGGCAGCACGGACUUCGGUCUGGUGGCGAGUGGCGAACGGGUGAGUAAUGUAUCGGAACGUACCUUUCAGUGGGGGAUAACGUAGCGAAAGUUACGCUAAUACCGCAUAUUCUGUGAGCAGGAAAGCAGGGGAUCGCAAGACCUUGCGCUGAUUGAGCGGCCGAUAUCAGAUUAGCUAGUUGGUGAGGUAAAGGCUCACCAAGGCGACGAUCUGUAGCGGGUCUGAGAGGAUGAUCCGCCACACUGGAACUGAGACACGGUCCAGACUCCUACGGGAGGCAGCAGUGGGGAAUUUUGGACAAUGGGGGCAACCCUGAUCCAGCCAUGCCGCGUGAGUGAAGAAGGCCUUCGGGUUGUAAAGCUCUUUCGGCCGGGAAGAAAUCGCAUGGGCUAAUACCCUGUGCGGAUGACGGUACCGGCAUAAGAAGCACCGGCUAACUACGUGCCAGCAGCCGCGGUAAUACGUAGGGUGCGAGCGUUAAUCGGAAUUACUGGGCGUGAAGCGUGCGCAGGCGGUUUUUUAAGACAGGCGUGAAAUCCCCGGGCUCAACCUGGGAACUGCGCUUGUGACUGGAAGGCUAGAGUAUGGCAGAGGGGGGUGGAAUUCCACGUGUAGCAGUGAAAUGCGUAGAGAUGUGGAGGAACACUAAUGGCGAAGGCAGCUCUCUGGGCUAAUACUGACGCUCAUGCACGAAAGCGUGGGUAGCAAACAGGAUUAGAUACUCCUGGUAGUCCACGCUCUAAACGAUGUCAACUAGGUGUUGGGGUGGGUAAAACUAUUUAGUACUCGGAGCUAACGCGUGAAGUUGACCGUCUGGGGAGUACGGCCGCAAGGUUAAAACUCAUAGGAAUUG